UUGGAUAUGAGGCACUUGAGGACAGACACUGUCCUCUUUCCACCUUUGCAGCCCCAGCCGGAACCUGGCACACAGCAGGUGCCGAUAAAUAUUUGCUAAAUAAAGGAAUGCAUGACUUCAAACUCCGCUUUUAAAGUUCUGCAGCCCUUGGAAAAUUCCACAGUUUAGGCAGCUGCUCCUGUCCUCUGUGCAAAUAGGCACUUUAUCAAUCCAAGGCUGGCAGCAGAUCUGCUGAGCCUAACUCAAGCCUCAGGCUUCUUCCCAGAGCGGUCCCUCCACUCAAACGGGGCUGCAUCUGCCUCCCUUGAUAGGUGCUUCUGCCAGGAGCUGGGAAAAGCUUGAUGCCUCCCCUUCCCAAUGCUAUUUUCAAAGCGAUUCAGAAGCAAUGGUGAUAUUUUUUGCCCUUAAGAACAAGACAACUUCUUUGACAUAAUAAGGUUAAAAAAGAAACUGAAAAAAAAAAAGAAAGAAAGAAAAAGAAAGAAAGAAAGAAAAAAAACCUGCACCGCAUUUCCUUUCAGCUGGGUGGAAAAAAACCCCAAUCUCCAGUUCCAGCUGGCAGGCUGCUGGACUCUCGCUUCUGAGGAGAAGGGGAGCGGAAAGAUCAGCCCUGUGCAGCUGAGGACUUAUUUUUGGCUGUGCAGCUGGUGAGGAGUUGCUGGCAGCAGGCAGCAUCUCCUCAGCACUGAGGCAGGGGCAUGGCACUGCAUGGCCGGAAGAACCUCUUUGGGCCUGGGUACCGCAUUCUCCUGUUGACAGCACUGACAAGUUGGAAGGAUUCAGAGCAAAGGACUCCCAGUGGGUGACCUCGUUUCCCUCCCAGUGGUAUUUCCCUUCAAUGAUACAGCCUCUUCUGCACUAAGCUCUACCUGUGGGGAAAUGAGAACUUGUUGAACUGACACAUCUCUGUCUUUGAGAAGUGGUGUCUCCUUCCACAGCUGCUGCCACUUGAUGGCUGUGCUUUUGCCAAAGAUGGAGAGACACACAGAGAUGGGUGACUUCCAUGAGACCCUGAUGAGCAGUGUGGACAAGCCAGCACUUGCUUGAGUGUGGCCCACCUGGACAGCCAUGUGAAGACUGACAGAAGCAGGAAUCUCUAUGAAGUGCCCCGUUAAACUUCAGCCGGGGGCUAUAUGCUUCAGACCACCUUGUUCUUUUUGCCUCUGAAGCAAUAAGAUGCUUUAUAAAUAAAAUAAAAUUAACUGUACAGAGUCUCAUGGCCUUUGGCAUUCUUCAAGCAGGUGGAGCAAAAAGA